rnacentral:rRNA from 1 species
UACGAAGGGGGCGAGCGUUGUUCGGAUUUACUGGGCGUAAAGGGCGCGCAGGCGGCUUUGUUUGUCAGGCGUGAAAGCCCCGGGCUUAACCUGGGAACUGCGUUUGAUACGGCAGGGCUAGAGUUCGGGAGAGGAGAGUGGAAUUCCCAGUGUAGAGGUGAAAUUCGUAGAUAUUGGGAAGAACACCGGUGGCGAAGGCGGCGAGCUGGUCCAUUACUGACGCUGAGGCGCGACAGCGUGGGGAGCAAACAGG